AUUUUCUUCAUGGUAAGGAUCAAUGCAAGUGUGGAUGGAACGAUGUGUGGACGUUUAAAGGACCACUCCGUGCACCAUAACCACUUAAACCCAUAGUAGGGGUUAUAAUGCCCGGAGUGUCCUAGUGCUGGUAAGAUGUAAAACCUGGAUCUGGACUGCCCGUAUGGGUGGGACCAGUCUGAUAUGUUUCAGAGAUGUUCUCUCUGUAAUGGCACAAGAUGAGCUAAAACUAGCUUGAGAUUUGAGCGGGGAUCCACCGAAGGGCAGGCUAUUUCAGCUGCUGCCCGUUCUAAGUAUUCUCUUGCGCCCAGUUUUUUGCUCUCCACAAGAUGUCAAACCAUUUUAGCACAAUUUGACUUAUCUUGGUCCUGCUGGUUUGCGAUGGCGGUAUCCCCUUUACCCACUCUUCUUUAACAGAGAAACCAUAUUGUUCUAUAGAGCAAAGAUGGGCAAAGCUUGUCCUGCAUGGUUCCUACUUUACAUAAUACAGACAUGAGGUUUCUUUUGCUGGAGAAGACUAGAUACAGCACAGGGGACCCAGGUAACUUAUCAAACGGUGCUAAAGCUAAAAACAAUAAAUAAAUGUUUGCAUAGGCAGUGGAG